AUUGAACGCUGGCGGCAGGCCUAACACAUGCAAGUCGAACGAGUGGCGGACGGGUGAGUAAUGUCUGGGAAACUGCCUGAUGGAGGGGGAUAACUACUGGAAACGGUAGCUAAUACCGCAUACCAUCAGAUGUGCCCCUAUGGGAUUAGCUAGUUGGUGGGGUAACGGCUCACCAAGGCGACGAUCCCUAGCUGGUCUGGGAGGAUGACCAGCCACGCUGGAAAGGUGAAACGGCCCAGACUCCUACGGGAGGCAGCAGUGGGGAAUAUUGGACAAUGGGCGCAAGCCUGAUGCAGCCAUGCCGCGUGUAUGAAGAAGGCCUUCGGGUUGUAAAGUGCUGUCAGCGGGGAGGCGUUACCCGCAGAAGAAGCACCGGCUAACUCCGUGCCAGCCGCCGCGGUAAUAC
rnacentral:rRNA from 1 species